UAUCCGAUCUAUUACCUACGGGGGGCAGCAGUGAGGAAUAUUGGUCAAUGGGCGAGAGCCUGAACCAGCCAAGUCGCGUGAAGGAUGACGGCCCUACGGGUUGUAAACUUCUUUUGUCAGGGAGCAAUUGGGUCCACGUGUGGGCUUAGCGAGAGUACCUGAAGAAAAAGCAUCGGCUAACUCCGUGCCAGCAGCCGCGGUAAUACGGAGGAUGCGAGCGUUAUCCGGAUUUAUUGGGUUUAAAGGGUGCGUAGGCGGAAUAUCAAGUCAGCGGUAAAAAUUCGGGGCUCAACCCCGUCGUGCCG
rnacentral:rRNA from 1 species